AUUUUGAAUUAGUUCUGGGCUGUACUUCAAUCCUGUAUCUGCCCUCUCUGAUGCAAAGAGUAUUUGUUGCCUCAGGUCCAUGGCUCGAACUAGAAACUGGACUGGAGUCUCUCUGGGCUCUUGUGCAGCACGUGGUGAACAGCAGUGGCACUCCUUUCAGAAAAGUUCAUAGCAGUAGUGGUGGUUGACAUUGUGGCAGAGUCACUUUCAACAAUAAGGACAGUCCUUCGUCUUCAAGCGAUGUGACAUCUUCCCCCUCUAAGUGCAGGAGAAUAAUCCUUCUCACUUUGCG